AUUGAACGCUGGCGGAAUGCUUUACACAUGCAAGUCGAGCGGCAGCACGGGGGCAACCCUGGUGGCGAGCGGCGAACGGGUGAGUGAUACAUCGGAACAUGCCCAGUCGUGGGGGAUAACACUUCGAAAGAAGUGCUAAUACCGCAUACGUCCUGGGGAGACAGCGGGGGAUCUUCGGACCUCGCGCGAUUGGAGGGGCCGAUGUCAGAUUAGCUAGUUGGGGGGGUAAAGGCCUACCAAGGCAACGAUCUGUAGCUGGUCUGAGAGGAUGAUCAGCCACACUGGGACUGAGACACGGCCCAGACUCCUACGGGAGGCAGCAGUGGGGAAUUUUGGACAAUGGGGGCAACCCUGAUCCAGCCAUUCCGCGUGAGUGAAGAAGGCCUUCGGGUUGUAAAGCUCUUUCGGCAGGAACGAAACGGCGAGCUCUAACAUAGCUUGCUAAUGACGGUACCUGAAGAAGAAGCACCGGCUAACUACGUGCCAGCCGCCGCAGUAAUAC
rnacentral:rRNA from 1 species